rnacentral:lncRNA from 1 species
CAAUUUCUCUUCUUCAAACUAGGGUUGUUCUUCUUCAACAGUACAGUUACUUUCAACAUGUAUGUCCCGGACAUCUGAUUUUCAUUCUUCUUCUUUUUCUUUUUCUUUCUAAACGUCCAAAAAGCAGCGAAAUGUUGGCGAAUUUUUUUCAGAAAAAUUCUGCCUAGUUUUUCCAGUUUCUGCCCUAAAUUUCUGCCCAAUUAUUAUAUCUUUUAUUCUUAGUUCUUAUAGAAGAAGAGAAUGCUCAUUUUGUAGAAAAAUAGGAUGCUCAUUUUGUGCUUUAAUUGAUGCUACUCUUUAGUUUUUUAGUUGAAGUAUUGAACAUUUGCUUACAAAUAAUAUGUGUUGUAUAUGUAGUAUUUAUUUUAUUUUUUUUAAUUCCGCUUCAUUUAAAAAAAGCGAGAGCUUCGCUUCUCGCUUCUUACUUUUCGUGAAAUGAGGGUUGUCACAUUUCCUCGCUUCACGCUCUUCACAACACUAGUUCCUACUCUUCCUCCCAGAAUAUUCACCAAGCUAUGUAUCUCCAUUACUUCAUUAACUGGAUAGAUGAAGCUCUUAUUCCAGUUAAUGUGUAAUCCAGAAAUAGCCUAAAAAAUGAAUAAUCACCCUCAAACGAAGCACCUGGUCUCGAUCAGCAUGACGAAACACCAAAGUAUCAUCCGGAUAUUGCAGAUGGGUAACUUCUAGUGACACUGGAUCUCUUGAAUUCACCCUGAAACCCCUGAUCCUUGUUGGCUUUGGCAGAUUUAAACCGGCGAUUUAAACCUUCCAUUGGCAGAAUAAAUAGAAAGGGGGAUACAAGGUCCCCCUACCUCAGACCUCUCUGUGAAGAGGAAAAAUCAGCUGGUAGACUACCUAGUAUCUUUUGCCUCUGCUAGAAUAUGAACAUAAGACCUCAUGGUCCUCCUUCCACUUCACUGACCACUAGACCACAUGCAUGGAUAAAAGUUUAAUUGUGUGAAUGCAUACUCCCCUUCCCAGACCCCACGUGUAGGAUUACACUGGCAAUCCCACACUAUCCCACACUGGGCUUCUUGUUGUUGUUGUGUGCAUGCAUACUUAUGUACACAUUUAUAUACUACUACAUAUUUUUGAACUAGAGCUGUGCAGCUAAAAUUGGUAAAAUUUGCUGUGUGCUAUAUUUGCAGAGAUAAUAGAUUUUUGUGAGUUUUUAUCACCUACACCUGAGGAGCAAGCAUCCCGUAAUGCAGCCAUAGAAUGUGUUUUUGAUGUUAUCAGAUAUAUCUGGCCCAACUGCAAGGUCUGUUGUCACGAUGCCUGUUCUCCUCCCAUCAGUGUAUAGCACAUUAUAUCUGUGAUAUACAGAAGCAGAUUGAUUUACUCUGUUGAAGUUCGUUGUUUUAAUUUAUCAUUCUUAUCCCUUUUUCCAGCCAGAAGUCUUUGGUUCAUUCAAGACAGGGUUAUAUCUUCCCACUAGUGAUGUUGAUGUAAGCUUACUCUGCUUAUUUUUCAAGUAAAUUUGAGAUUUCCUUUCUCGGUGAAAAGAUAUUUUUCCUUAAAAUUUCUCACUGAAGUGCUGCUACUUCUGCCUGAAGUUGAGUUAAUAGAAUCCAAACUUUAACAACAAUAACAGUACCCCUUCAAUAUCUUUUUAUCCUCCCAAACAAAAGUUACAACAACAACAACUACCCCUCAAUGCUGUACUGGUUGGGUUCCAAAUCCUCCACAUGACAUGCAACAAAAUGCAUCAUGCUAACCUGGGCAUCCUGUACUUGACCACUUAUUCUGUGAUGUGAAACCUGUAAAGGCUGUUGUACCCAAUUAAGGAGCAUCUGCUUUUAAAUGGGAAACAUAAUUAGUUGCUUAUUGAAAAAAUAGUUCUGGAGCGUGAUACUGCUCUGUGGUGGUUACCGUUGUUAUGAAUGAAUCUUUCCAUUCACAGUCAUUAGACAUAUAUGACUUGUUGGCUGAUUGUGGUGUGGAAACAAUAACGAUCGAAGUUAAAAUUAACGCUUUGAGCUACUUUUUGAUAUACAGCUGGUGAUUUUAGGGUCAGAUAUUAGAAGUCCUCAACUUGGGUUACAGGCUCUUUCCAGGGCUCUCUCACAAAAAGGAGUCGCAAAGAAGAUACAGGUUCAUGACAUGACCCUGUGAUCUCUCAAUGAGGAACAUUUUCUUUCAUUUCCCCCCUCCCCAAACCUUGUGAUAGGUUUCUGCGAAGAGAACUUACAAUCUGGAUUUUUCAUGUGCUGUUCCAAAUUAGGUGAUAUCAAAGGCUCGUGUGCCAAUAAUCAAAUUUGUGGAGAAGAAAAGUGGCAUUUCAUUUGAUAUAAGGUUUGAUUUUGUACAACUUUUAUGGGAUUCUGACAUACUAUUGUAAGUUUGUAGAAGAUAGUUCAUAUUUUUUAUUUUUAUUUGUGUUGUCUUUAUCCUGAAAUGUAGCUAAAUAAAACCAUGUUUUGAAUUGGCGAGAACUUCUUCCUUUUAGUCUCUUGCUGCAAAUUAUCUUGCCCCUACUUGGUGGUCAUUUGGAUAGUGUGGACCCAGGGGAGCUUGAUUUGUGCUUUUCGGCUUUUCCAUUCAUGAUUUCAGUUUAUUAUCUAAUGGAAAUAAUUCCACAGAUUUUAUCAUGUAAUUUAUUUUUGUGUUUUGGGAUGAUCCUUUAUCUUGUGUUCCUCUUUUGUUUGAGUUUCUUGCUUGGUGCAUGUGAUUGUCGAUUAGUUCAUAUUAGUUUAGACUUUGUUAUCUUAAUGAGCUAACAAAAUGAAAUGGAGAGUUGACCAAUCUCUCCCCUUCUGUGCUUCUUGAAAGUUAGAGAAAAACCUAUGACAACCCACUCCUCAUCCUAGGUAACUGGAAAUCGCUCUGGGACAUACCUCAUUAUUUUUAGCUGUUUCCUCUAAAGACCGGCCAGGCGUUUACUAUGCAAACAAGACUACCGACCUAUUGAACUCAUUUGACUAAUUCUGAUAUUGAGGCGGCCCAUCUUCCAAACCCUACAAUAUGACCGUCGCCUAGGUGUUAGGAAUUUGUAUAUUGGCAGUUUUGGCACAAAUUUUAGAGCCGGUUAGAUGGUGGUGGGAGAUGUUGUGCACUUUUUUUUUAUCAAUAAUAAUAAUAAUAGCAAAAGCAAAUAUUUUUGUAAAUAUUUCAAUUGACGAAAUGGAUGAGAAAGCAAGCUGCAACUUCAUCUUAGUACCCAUUUUCCUUACUAAUUGUUGGGAACUUCCAUAAUAUUUAAGAUUUGGCUACUUAUAGAUUGGUGAAGAGAAAUUGUAAACAUGCAUAAUGCACACUCUUCAUAGAAUUAGAGACAAUUGGGCAAUGUCAACAUCAGUUAGAAUUCACCAUUCAAUAUUAAGAGAAAUGGUAUUAUAAAUACCUAGCCAAGUGCGUUGAUUCACCACACAAAAUUUCUACCUUUGCAAUUAUUGAGUCAAAUGGUGUACUUGGUAACCGUGAUAGUGAUAUUUAGUUUCAUUUUCCCGCAACAAGUCAUUUCUCAGACCAAUUACGAUCUUAUGCAAGUGGUAUUCCAGUGGUCACUGACAUGUCAGAUGCCAGAAAUGACUGCAGAAGUUCUGUUAAUAAGUUAAAGUUCAUCGUGCACGGCCUAAAGAGCAAAGGUACUUAGAAUGGGGAGAUUCGUAGCAAAAAUUAUAGAGCAAAAGUGGGAAACCUGGGGGCGUUGAGAAGAAAAUGCAAGUUAGGAGGAUAGAGAAAGAGCGGAAGGUGGAAGACCAAGUAGUACUGCUUGAGAUGUGACAGUGUGAAUAAGAUCAAAAAAAUAAACAGUGUUGCUGCUCCUAUUCUUGGCUCUAGUGGGGCCUUCCCAAAUUUAAGGCAAACCCUAGCACACUAUAUGUACUCUUUUGUUAAAGCCAGGAACCUAACCAGAAAAUCAAAAUUCCUUAACCCUUAAUACCAAACAUGACUGAAAGCACAAGUUAAAGAAAGAAAGAAAGAAAGAACCAAACAGAUGAAAACUUUGGUCAGUCGAUUUACUUGGUAUUAACUGAAUAAUGCACACCUCUGGGAGAGUAUAUAUUUUGAUGAAGAAGUGGGUGGUUUUGGGAAGAAAUGGAGGCUAAAUUUCUGUCGCAGUUGCUCGUUCCA